GACACCAGGAGUGUUUUCGGGAGGUUGGCUGGCAUAUAAUUCACUAGCAUACUUGGUAUUGAAGCGAAGGAAGUCAAUGAUCUCCAUUCCAGCGUCAAUUUCAGCUUGCCAGAUGUUCUUACCCUGGCCAAUCAUUGUAGCAGCCAUGAGCUUGUAACGGUACUUGGUGCUUAUCAAAUGAGCAGCCUUCAAGAAAAUGGCAGAACGGUCAGCAAAAGGUAAGGAUUCCCAGACCUUCUUUCCACGAAGUGCUGCCUCAAUGGCAUCUUCAACGUGCUUGGCACCAGCACGGUGAUAGCGAGCAACGACCUUUUUGUGCUCAAAAGGACAACGCUGCUCACCAAUGGUAUUCGUUUCAACUUCCUUACCAUCAAUGAUGACAGGGAUAGUGACAGGUAAUUCAGCCUCUAACUCCUUGUAGGCCUUGACGAUUCCCUCUCUGUCAGCACUAUUGGGACCAUAGUGUUUAGGAGGCUCGUUCUUAAUGGCAGGUAAUUUGAACUCAGCAAAUUGUGACAUUUUAC